AUAUCGGGGGUGCACUGGCACAGAGGAAAGGCCAUGUGAAGCAAGAAGGCAGCCAUCUGCAAGCCAAGGAGAGAAAUUUCAGAAGGAACCAACCCUACCGACAUCUUGAUCUUGGACUUUAAGCUGCCAGACCUUUUAUACAUUUUCUACAGAAAAUGCACCCCAUCAUUGCUUAUAGCCCACCCACGUGGACUGCUCAUUCUGUGAAUCAUGUUUUACAGAAAUUGCCUUGAUGUUAGGAAUUAAAAAAACAAAACAAAACAAAAAACAUGGAGCCGUAUUCUCCAGAAGCUUACAUCUGAUUUAACGAGACAGCAAUAGGAAGCCAAAGGGUCCCUGCAGAGGAGGGUUGCAGCACGAUAACUCUACAGCUGGACAGAGACAGAUUGCAGGGGAGCAAGAAUGAAUGGCAGGCCAGCUGCCAGAAGCUUCUCACUCCGUGGAGACCUUGGAGUCGAGGAUGAAAUGUCUUACAACUGUGGGGAGACCUUGGCUUUUCCAAAGCCUACCAGGGUCCAGGACUUGGAAGCUAAGGCCCAGAGAGGAGGAGAAACUUGAUCAAAGUCAAUCAGACAAUGCAGAAUCGAGAAAAGUACCUGGACCUCUAUGCCCAUGCUUCUAGCAGCCAGCCUCCUAAAAUACCUCUAGUUGAAGCCAAAGUUAGAAUCCUUCUACGAAACUACAGGAUUAAAAUGGAAUGGUUACAUGACCCAGGCUUGACCAAUCAGAUCAUCCAAACCCUUUGCCACAGUGAUUGGUCCAGGGAUACAUGCAUGAGCCAGCUCAGGUGGCAUUGUAUUAUGCGCCAAGAGUGAACCAGAUAGAGGAAGUUGCUCCUUAAGCUUGCAGGUCUGAAAGAACAAGGAAUUGCCUCUCUUCAAAGGCCUAAGCCACACUCAUCUUGUGGAUGACACUGGAGCUGUGACAGUCUGUUCUGUCCAGGCAGGGUGUCUUUUAUUUUUAUUGGAAAUAAGAUUAUCACAGUACGCAAGGCCCAAACAAUUGGUGAUAAUGAAGAAACUCUACUACCAGACGUUGCGGGAUGCCUCAAUGACCUAAUCCAGUAAAUCACAGCUCCAGCUGUCCAUGAGCUCUGUCUACCAUCUGAGGAAUUGUUUCUUUUUAAUACAAAGACUGGCACUCAUCAGAUAAUAAUUUCUGGGAUAGAAGCAAAGUAUUGGUAUUUCUUUAAGUCUCUUGAAGGUGAUUCUACUGAGCUGGGAUUAAGAACACACUGCCUUAAUCCUUUCAUCAUCAACAAAA
rnacentral:lncRNA from 1 species